rnacentral:tRNA from 1 species
UAAGGGGGCAAAAAUGUAAAGCAGGAAGGAAAAAAAAGUUGCCUUGUUGCAUUGGCCGGGAAUCGAACCCGGGCCUCCCGCGUGGCAGGCGAGAAUUCUACCACUGAACCACCAAUGCAGCUCUGAAUGAAGAGUUGCAACCGAGACUCAGGUGGUCAGCCACAGGCUCCAGCACCACGUCUGCUCUCGAUCAAUGUCUCCGUCGGGUCCGUGGGGGCGGGGCUCCCGGUCCAACUCCAGAGGAUCGAGAAGACAGUAACUAUGACCUGGACUACAAGCUGUACAGGGAAGAUGUCCCCUACAGGGUGUAUGAAUACCAAGGAAUCCCUCCACUCCUCAACCGCAUGCCUGUCAAGAUCCGGAGGACCCACGUGGGCAUGGGGGUUAAGAGCAGCUUCAGUCCCCACAAGGGCCCCAGGAAGAGCCACCUGCCCCGAGAGCAAAUAAAGCUCCAGACCAAGGAGCUGCACUCUAUCAGGAGGGAGCUAAACCAGAUCAAAGCCCAGGUGGACCGUCUAUUGGAGAAUCUGGAGCGCAUGGACCAGCAGAGGGACCAGUUUCCAGGGUCAGACGCCAGUGAAGAAAACAGGGCCGCAGUGAGUAAGAGUUACUCAUGCAGAAUCACUGAAGCCAAGCAGGAGCCCAGGGGCCAGAGGGCCCAUCCAGAAGCAGACAGCCCAGAGGACAGCACACACCCAGAGGAGGCAGUGAAGAAUCAUGCAUCGGACCAGGAGGGCAGUCAGUAGAAGACUGGAAUUCCUCCCGGCUUCUUCCCAGACGGCUCCCUUCCUUGCCUCAUGGGGUUUUUGGAAGGCCUCCUGGUGGCACCUGUGCGACCAAAAGCACACAUUCUGGAAUGAGUACAAUGAAGCGGAGGUGUGGCUCACCACACCAGCUGGGAAGCCCCUCCGUAAUGGUUGCUUUUGCUUUUGGAGGCCAUGUUUCCAGAUAGUCCGGGGAGCUAAGAGGGAGGUCUAGCACAUGCUCACUAUCCUCAUGAGGGAGGCCGUCUGGCAAGGGGCGGAAGAACAGCGCCCCGCCCCCACCUUGGGAGCACAUCUGCCCCCUCUGACUGCAGGCAUUGCUUUGGCUGCUCUUCUCCCUGCCCCAGGCCCUGCCAGUUCUGUGUGGAGUGUCCCGCCCCCGCCGCCAGCCCAGCUUUCUCAGCUCCAGUGAUGCACAGGAAAUAAACUCAUGUUCUACGGACCCCUUCUGGUCUGAAACUGACCUUUAAGCUCCUUGGUGUGUGUCCCACAUGACCUCCUUUGGUUCCAGACUCCCCACCCAUCCACCCUCAUUCAGAAUAGAGUAUCAUUUUUAUGUCCUGUUUCUAUCUUGUCUCUCACUGGUGUGAUACUAUGUACUUCAGACCUGCUCUGGAAAUACUGUAAUGUCAAAGGAGAAAAAUAAAUUUGUAUUUCUUUUCCCUGGUC